rnacentral:rRNA from 1 species
UACAUGGGGUGCAAACGUUGCUCGGAAUUAUUGGGCGUAAAGCGCACGUAGGCGGUUCGUUAAGUCGGAUGUGAAAGCCCUCGGCUCAACUGAGGAAGUGCACCCGAAACUGGCGAGCUUGAGUACGAAAGAGGAUAGCGGAAUUCCCGGUGUAGAGGUGAAAUUCGUAGAUAUCGGGAGGAACACCGGUGGCGAAGGCGGCGAUCUGGGUCGAUACUGACGCUGAGGUGCGAAAGCGUGGGGAGCAAACAGG